rnacentral:rRNA from 1 species
CCUACGGGAGGCAGCAGUGAGGAAUAUUGGUCAAUGGGCGCGAGCCUGAACCAGCCAAGUAGCGUGAAGGAUGACUGCCCUACGGGUUGUAAACUUCUUUUAUAAAGGAGUAAUGUGAGGCACGUGUGCCUUGUUGUAUGGAUUCUAUGAAUAAGGAUUGGCUAAACCCGUGCCAGCAGCCGCGGUAAUACGGGGGAUCCGAGGGUUAUCCGGGUUUAUUGGGUUUAAAGGGAGCGUAGAUGGGUUGUUAAGUCGGUUGUGAAAGUUUGCGGCUCAACCGUAGAAUUGCAAUUGAUACUGGCAGCCUUGAGUACAGUUGAGGUAGGCGGAAUUCGUGGUGUAGCAGUGAAAUGCUUAGAUAUCAAGAGGAACUCUGAUUGCGAAGGCAGCCUCCUAAACAGCAACUGACAUUGAGGCUCGAAAGUGAGGGUAGCAAACGGGAUUAGAUACCCCAGUAGUC